AUUCUACUCCAAGGUAUUUUGCCUCAUAUAAGCCAAUACAGCAUUAUAGAAGACACAAUUUCCACUUUUUCAGUAUAGUUAAAAAGCCAUUCACUGUUUUGUUAUCCCGUUCAAAUGUGUGACUCAAGUUAGUACUCAUUCCAAGGUAUUUCAAUCUCAUUACUCACUCAAAACAGUAUAUAUAGGCCUCAAUUUUCAGUCUUCCGUUAUUCAGUUAAAAAAGGCCAUUCACUGUUUUGUUAUUCCGUUAAAACACGUGACACUUAGAUUAGUAUUCAUUCCAGGGUAUUUCAAUCUCAUUACUCACUCAAAACAGUAUAUAUAAGCCUCAAUUUUCAGUCUUUCGUUAUUGUUAUAAAAAGCCAUUCACUGUUUUGUUACCCCGUUAAAAUACGUGACACUUAGAUUAGUAUUCAUUCCAGGGUAUUUCAACUCCGCCAGUCCAGUAAUAUAAACAAACAGAAUAUAAAAACAAACACACAUCAACUUCAGUGCCACACAACCGCAAAUAACAACCGUCAAUCAAUCCAUAUAUGUAUAUUUACUAACGAAUAUAUAUUUACUACAGACGCCAACCUUGAAAACUUCCAUCAUUUCAGACCACACGGGGCAAGGUGAGACUAGACUGGAUACAACAGGGGGAGUCUCACCAUAAGAUGUAUCCAAAUUAGAGGGGGGAGGGGUUAUUAAGGGGGGCAUCCUCUCCCUUUUGCCGGGGUGUUCGUGGCCCACAAACACACAUAAGAGAGCAGAAGAGAACCUCAAGACCCCAGAAAGAUGAAGAGGAGAGAGAAAAUGCAACUGGCUGGCUCACACACACACGCACGCACACACAUUCAGGUACUCAUACACGUACAUAUCAAGGUGUUGUGUGCGUGUAGUGUGAUGUGCUGUGUGCUGUGUGUGCUGUGUGUGUGUGUGUGUGUGUGUGUGUGUGUACUGGACGUUGUUAUGCUUGUGGUUUUGAACGGUCUAUUUCCUCUCCUCUCCUCUCCUCUCCUCUCCUCUCCUCUCUCUCUCUCUCUCUCUCUCUCUCUCUCUCACACAGAAGCACAGAGGACAUAACCAGCCAGAAGGGGAAAAAAAGGGGGGUGGGGGUGGUCUAGACAACCCCAUAGCAUAGAAAUAGUGGUAGUAGUAGUAGUAGUAGUAGAAAACAGAGUAUAUAUAAAAGACAUCAUGUAGUAAUAGUAAUAGUAAUAGCAGUAGUAUAUAUAAAAUGGAAAAAUAUCUACCUUCUCAACUAAAUCAAGACUAAGAGUAAGGAGCGUAAGUGGGCCAAGAGAUAUGACUACCAUCACAAAGGGAGGGGGAGGGAAGAGGGGGAGGGGAGGAGGGAAGGCGUGGAGGGAGAGAAGGGCAGGAGGAGGAAGGGAAGGAGAGGGUACGGUACGGAGCUGUCAAGUGCCGUUUUUACAUAAGUUCCCCCUUCAAAAAUACUUAUCGUUCUUUUUUCCUUCUAUUUAAAGUACCAUUCAGUGUUUGGUUACCCAGUUAAAAUGUCUUACUGUGUUUUGGUUAUCCUGUUAUAGCCUUUCAAUAUCAUGUUUUCCCAUUAAUAAAGCAUUGACCACUGUUUUGCUACCCCGUUGAAAAGGCAUACACAGUUUUGUCACCCCGUUGCAAAUAGUGAAGUGACAUUUGUUUUGGUUUUCACGGCAGCUCCUUCCUCUCCUCUCUCCUUCCUUACCCCGUCACCCCCACCGCCCCCCAGCCUUCCCCUCCACUCCCCUCCCUCCCCCUCAGAUAAAUAUAAUAGUAAAGACGGUUUUGUGAGGCAGUGAAUAAGGCAAGUGUUGGUAGAUGAAAAAAAAUAUUAAAAAAAUGGAGUUAGUAAAAUAUAUAUGAAUUUCGAUACAUAUUGUCAUCCUGUAUCCAGAUCAAUUAUUCCUUUAUUUCACUAUUAUUAUUUAGUUUAUUUAAUAAUUUAUCAACACAUAGGCCUAGUAACUGCCUCACUAAACCGGACAUAAGGAAAAAACUUAAUUAGGAAUGAAUCGAGACCAGAAAAUGACAAAACAAAAGUAAGUAAACAACAACAAGAGCAGUCCAUCACUAACUUCACUAUCAUCAUCAUCAGGAAAAGCAAUUAAGGUGAAAACAAUUAACAGGUAAGGUAAGGGAAGGUACGUGAGCGCGCACCUUUUGUUUACCUUCAGACAAAACCAAAACAACAAAACAAAAACAUCACUCUGGUCUCAAGACAUUCAAAGGCCGCUGGCUCACCGUCGCUGUCCGCCCGAGUGACUGAUGGAAGGGAAAGGAAUAGGAAUGGGAGGAGGAGGAGGAGGAGGAGGAGGAGGAGGAGGAGGAGGAGUAUGGGUAACAAUGGUAACUCGUUGAGGAGGAAGAAUGGAAGGAGAGGAGGAUGGAGUAUUUUAAUGAGAGAGAGAGAGAGAGAGAGAGAGAGAGAGAGAGAGAGAGAGAGAGAGAGAGAGAAAUAAAUAAGGUAAGAUGUAAAAAAAAAAAUAGAGGGAAGGAGUAGAAAAUCAUGAUGGUAAUGGUAAUGAAUAAAUGAGAAUGAAAAAGGAAGGAAGGAAGGAAGGAAGGAAGAGAAAUGAAUAAAUAAACAAAUGAAUAAAUAGGUGAAUAAAUAAGUGAAUAAAUAAAUAACUAAAUGAUGUUUGGUUGAGGUAAAUAAACAAGGUGUGAAAGGAAAAUAAUAAUAAAAAGUAACCUACGGCAAGAUGAGGCUAGAGGUAAGGAAUGACACACACAAAAACAUGAUUAGAAGAAAAUAUGAAAAGUUAAAAAAAAUAUAUAAAUAAACAAGAAAAAGAAAAAAAAAUAAUGUGAUGGUUUGAGUGACAGGAAAAGCAUAAAAAAAAAAAACAGGAUGAAAAAAAAGGAGAAAAAAAGAGCAAGACUAUAAGCGAAAAUAACCACGAAAAAAAAAAAAAAAAAAAAACUAAA